CCCGCUGAACUUAAGCAUAUCAAUAAGCGGAGGAAAAGAAACUAACCAGGAUUCCCUUAGUAACUGCGAGUGAAGAGGGAAAAGCUCAAAUUUAAAAUCUGGCGGUCAGUUUGGCCGUCCGAGUUGUAAAUUAGAGAAGCGUUAUCCGCGCUGGACCGUGCAAAAGUCUCUUGGAAAGGAGCAUCAUAGAGGGUGACAAUCCCGUCUUUGGCACGGACUACCAGGGCAUUUGUGAUGCGCUCUCAAAGAGUCGAGUUGUUUGGGAAUGCAGCUCUAAAUGGGUGGUAAACUCCAUCUAAAGCUAAAUAUUGGCGAGAGACCGAUAGCGCACAAGUACCGUGAGGGAAAGAUGAAAAGAACUUUGAAAAGAGAGUUAAACAGUACGUGAAAUUGUUGAAAGGGAAACGCUUGAAGUCAGUCGCGUCCUUCAGAAAUCAACUUUGACUUUGGUUGAGUGCACUUUCUGUUGGACGGGUCAGCAUCAAUUUUGACCGCCGGAAAAGGGCUUGGGAAAGUGACAUCCUUUGGUUGAUGUGUUAUAGACCCGGGUACAUAUUACGGUGGUUGGGAUUGAGGAACGCAGCGCAUUUAACUGGGGCCUAUCGCUCACACAUGUGCUUAGGAUGCUGGCUUAAU
rnacentral:rRNA from 1 species